CUGGCUCAGUUAGGGGCUGACCAGUGCAGAGGCAGGAGCUGUUUCUGCUGUCUGCAGGACCUGAGUCAGAGCCGUCUACUGGGAUAGUCACAGGAGCACAGCGUUUGUGCAUCUGUCAGGGAGUCCAUCCGGCCGUCUGUCUGUGAGUCCGUUUGUUGAAGAACUCCUCUUAAAUGGCAUGUGGAUCGCUCCUUAGUGGAUGUGUGAUUGCAGCUGAUUUGAUUCCUGCCUCUGAUACAGAUUCCCUGUUGUAACCCAGCCCCGACCGUGAAGAACCCGACCCUGGGAUGGCUGGUGAACAGGAGAGCGACCGAGGGGAGACCCGCACAUCUGUCCCCAGAACAUAGUCCCCGGCUCCAGCCACGGCCCCUCAGCAGGUGUGCUGCUGCGGUUCCUUUCUCCGGCUGUGGAGAGGUCUCUGGAACAGGAGAGUCCGGCACAAACUGACCAGCAGCUAGGAGGUCCCAGCCUGGGUAUGACUCUCAGACCAGGGUGUGAUUCUGCAACAUGCCAACUUGCGGAGCGGUCACUGAUCCAGCGCAGCAAAAGGCCUGGCGUGCGGCUUUCCAGCGGCAAUACACCCAGCUGCGCUACGGGACGUUUACCGCGUGGUAGCAG